GAUGAACGCUGGCGGCGUGCUUAACACAUGCAAGUCGAACGAUGAAGCCCAGCUUGCUGGGUGGAUUAGUGGCGAACGGGUGAGUAACACGUGAGUAACCUGCCCUUAACUCUGGGAUAAGCCUGGGAAACUGGGUCUAAUACCGGAUAGGAGCGUCCACCGCAUGGUGGGUGUUGGAAAGAUUUAUCGGUUUUGGAUGGACUCGCGGCCUAUCAGCUUGUUGGUGAGGUAAUGGCUCACCAAGGCGACGACGGGUAGCCGGCCUGAGAGGGUGACCGGCCACACUGGGACUGAGACACGGCCCAGACUCCUACGGGAGGCAGCAGUGGGGAAUAUUGCACAAUGGGCGCAAGCCCGAUGCAGCGACGCCGCGUGAGGGAUGACGGCCUUCGGGUUGUAAACCUCUUUCAGUAGGGAAGAAGCGAAAGUGACGGUACCUGCAGAAGAAGCACCGGCUAACUACGUG
rnacentral:rRNA from 1 species